rnacentral:rRNA from 1 species
GAUAAACGCUGGCGGCGCACAUAAGACAUGCAAGUCGAACGGACUUAACCAUUAGUUUACUAUUGGAGCGGUUAGUGGCGGACUGGUGAGUAACGCGUGAGGAACCUGCCUUUCAGAGGGGGACAACAGUUGGAAACGACUGCUAAUACCGCAUGACACAUUGAGGGGGCAUCCCUUUGAUGUCAAAGAUUUAUCGCUGAAAGAUGGCCUCGCGUCCCAUUAGCUAGUUGGUGAGGUAACGGCCCACCAAGGCGACGAUGGGUAGCCGGACUGAGAGGUUGACCGGCCACAUUGGGACUGAGAUACGGCCCAG